UACGAAGGGGCUAGCGUUGCUCGGAAUCACUGGGCGUAAAGGGUGCGUAGGCGGGUCUUUAAGUCAGGGGUGAAAUCCUGGAGCUCAACUCCAGAACUGCCUUUGAUACUGAGGAUCUUGAGUUCGGGAGAGGUGAGUGGAACUGCGAGUGUAGAGGUGAAAUUCGUAGAUAUUCGCAAGAACACCAGUGGCGAAGGCGGCUCACUGGCCCGAUACUGACGCUGAGGCACGAAAGCGUGGGGAG
rnacentral:rRNA from 1 species